GUUUUUGUUAAGGGGUUUCAUUUUCUGUUGCGGGGGGCAGUUUUGUACGGCUUUGGCUGCAGGGUGUCUGAGGUGAGAACAGUGAGCGGAAAUGGAGGCCACAGUGGUGACGAAGCUGGGGAAGGGCUGUGGGUCCUUGCCGCCCACCUCGCCAGUCUUCUCACUGGCCUGUGAGAGGUAGUCAUAGACGGUGGGUGUGACUGGGCUUGGCUUGGGUCCAAUUUGGCUUCAGGCAAACCCCAGGCCCAGCUUCUGUCUUCCAGGUGGCCCACAGAUCACCAGCAUCCGUGCCAGGUCAAGCUGGUGGCGCCAUAUUUCUCCUGUGGGCACCUAAGGUAGGAAAGAUUCCCCAAAGGGCUUAAACCAGAACUGAGAUCAAAUCAGUCUCUCCUUGAUGUGGCUAAGAGAUUUCAGGAAGCUCCAUCUUGGGAAAUCUCCCCGCAGCUCAGUUUUUUCUCCCUAGUACCUGGGCUCCAGCCUUCUUCCUGCCCACUUCCUUCCUCCUGAGAAAUCACCACCACAGGCACACCUGGAAAAUUCCCAUGAAGUCUCCUUCCUGGAAAUACGUGUUAUCUGGUUAUGGGAGAGUAACUCUGGAUCUGUGUCUUACAAAUUUGCAUGCUUUCCCGGAAGAUUACCAGAUCUGCUCCAAAUUCAGUGGCCAGGAGAUUCUCUUAGAAAGGUUACAAACUUGGUUUUAGAGGUGGAAGGGUGAGUCUGGGAAGGGUGGUGCCUGUAGUGACUUUAUAUCUGCCUUGUCCUCACUUCCGCCAUCAAGAAAGUGCUGUUUGUCUCAAGCCAGGUGUUCAGAACCUGACCUGGGGUUGACCAGACAAAUAGAAUUUCUUUCACUGGAUUGUUGUCUCUGUGAAGGGUGGCAGCCUUCUCUCUCUUUGUACCGCAGGAUGAAAUUUCCAAAUCCAUUUUACUGGGAUAUUACAUUUCUGUCCAAUCGUCCCAUCAUCAAAAACUGUUGGCUGGUUAAUUUCAUUUCUCUAAAACCCUCUUUGGCCCCAGUUGGCCACUUCUCUUCAACUGGAUGUUUGAAUUGAGCCCAAAUAAGAUAUUCACAGCCUGCCCAAGAAAUCUUACAGAAAGGAAGGCUGAGCAAUGCCAAGUUCUAGAUGUUACUUCCUUUCAAAUCCAUGAGGAUGAAUUCCGCUGUCAGCCCCAUCUCUUCCACAGAUGGGUCUGGACCAGGACUCAAUCUAUCCAAACUGUGAGAUUCCACAGACACCCUCAAGAGGGCUAAUGGUUCCAAGUUUCUUCAGAAUCCGUGAUUUCUAUCUCUCGUGUCCUCCAUCAUUCCCUUCCACUGUGGAAGUGAGUUGGUAGGUGUUGUCCUGUAUCCCUCCUCUCGGUGGCCAUGCUGAAAUUUCAGCGUUUCUACCGACUUCAGAUAAUCUGACCCUAGAAUUUGCCUGAAUUAAGAGUGUGCACACCCUUCAGAGUGACGCAUGUACAGUGGAUCUUGUAAUUUCAAAAAAUGUCACUGUGUAUCUUCAGCCAGAAUGUGGGAAACAUCCUUGAUGUGGGUUUCCCCUGUACUGGCCACAGCCAUGUUGUAUUGAGGGAGAGAAAAAUUCCCAAAUGAUUCCAUUAAAUGUUGGUGGUGUCAGUAGUGCCAAAACGCAUGUGUAAUGUGAUACAAAUAGGAGUCGUCUAGAAAAUUAAGGGAAUAUCACCCGCCCAGUCUUCCGUGGCCAUCAGAGAGUCUCCCAUGGGUGAAUUCUCUGCAUGGGAGGUGAAGACACUGUGUUGCCAAAACGCAGCGUGCUGGUCACCUGCACAUCUCAUUUAAGAACUAGGGUUUCUUUAUUUUUGUUUUUAAUUUAAUUUGUUUGUUCUUUGCUUAUUUCAGGAUUUAGGCACAAAAUAACCAGAUUGUUUGGGCAAUAGCCUUUGGAAAAAAGCUAUUCCAGAACUCACUUUAUUCUUUUAAUUUCCAUCUCUUAAAAAAAAAAAAAAAAAGCCCUGUCUGUUUGACACUCUGUGUGUGUCUGGUGUGUUAAGAAUGAUUCAGAUGUGUGCAUAAAUGAUGCAACUGCAGUGCUACUGAUGAAUGUAUUAGGGAUUUCUAGGUAUAGGGAUGAUCCCAACACACACUAACUGAUAAGGAGUUCCAGGACAAGGUAUAGUUUAACCAGUGGGCAGUUCUUUUUUAGACCUACCAGGUGUUUCGGACAUCACUAAAAUGUAGAUUCAUCAGUCUGAGAACUUCUAAUAAUAUUCUAGGUCUAGGGUUUCAUUCUUGUUUGGAGGUUCCAGUAUUAUGUAAAAUCCCAGGAUGUCUGCAUAUAUCCCCCCUCCAGCCCAUUCCAACCACAUUGACUUAAUCACCCAGGGGCCCAAUGGGUACUAUGACCUAUGUGCUCUCCUGACAAAGAAUAUUCCCAAGAACCUUAAAUGAAAAGCAGUGCUCUUUCCAUGCCUUGGAGAGAUUAGUUUGGGGCCUCUAAUUUACAAUGCUGAAGCCAGGAAAGAGAAUUUUGCCCAAAGGGUGAUAGAUUAGGCUAGCAGUCCUGAGCAUAAGUGGGCAGACUUAGGAGUCAUCCAUGUUUAUCUGCCAGUCUGUCUAUUUGCAUCUAUCUUUGAGCUCAUCACAGUGAGUUUCUGGUUCUGUUCUGUGCUUUACAAUAGAAUUGCUGGUGUGGUUAUGAGGGUGAAGACUCCUGAUGAGAACUGAAGGUAGAAAGCAGAGCAAACGAGUAGAAUUCCCCAGAGCCUUGGGACUCGUGUGUAGAAUUUGUGCUUUGGCAAAAGUGAAAGAAAGGGAGCUCACUGCGAGGAUUAAGGGUACAAUUAAAAAGCACAACACCAAGUCCAUUACAAAUCCGUUACUUAAAAGAUCUGGUCUCUGCAGUUUAAACCUGAACUCUCUUUUUUUUUUGUAAUUAUUUUAGUAUUGUGGUUUACAGGGUAGAGCAGAUUCCAAUACUACACAGGAGAAAAAAAAAAAUAAAAAUUCUGGUUAAAUGUGUUAGUGCAAUUAAACCAGUGUCUACUGAAUGCCUAUUAUGCCCCUGGGCUGGUGCUGUGCAGAAUAUAAGAGAGUUUAAAAUGGAGUAUAUUAUACUCACAUGUAAUAUGUGAACACAAAAGCGUACAGUAUUUGAAUGUGUGCACUAUGUAUGUAUAAAUAGGUGUGCAUAAAUGGGUAGAUUUAUACUUGCAAGGUUAAUUUUUUCUGGCUUCAAGGUAUGAGUCAAAUAUAUUGUGCGUUAUGUUAUCUUAAAAACGCUGCAGAGAUCCAGCUCUCCCAGAAUGGCCGUGCCCAAAUCCUUUCAGAAUUAUUCUGCCUCCCAGUGCUUAAACUCUGAAGAUUUCCUCUCUGCCCACUACCUAGCCUUUUCUAUAAUCCUGUCUGCCUUUCUUUGCGGUCCCUCGGUUGUUCUGGUCCAUAAACCCCUCUGAUUUCACUUACUUCUCUCCUUGGUCUCACCCUGCGUUCACCCAUAUCAACAACACCCUCCCCAGCAAUGUCUCUUCCUCUCACCUUCUCACCACACCUACUUUAUUUUUGACUCUGCAUCCCAUUCUCCCAACAUCCACUCCAUCUCCAAAACAGAAGGUCAAAAUCUAUGCCAGAGUGCGCAGCUCGGAUCCAUUUAAUUGCACCUAACCCCUACCCAGCUCAGACAUCUUUUUUUAUUUUCCAAUCUUGACUCCCCAUCACAUCUUCCAAGGGUUUGUUAAAUUUGUUUUUAUGUUCAUUUUCACCUCAUCUCUUCCUACUGUAUUACUAACAAAAUGUACCAGAUUUUACACAUUUCUCAAAUGAUCUCUCCUGUCCACCUUUAAAUUUCUCCUGUGCUUCAUUCGUCUUUACCAUCCUCCCUCCCAACGUGGUGCCCCUCUUCCCGGUACUGCUGCUCACCCUUUGAUCUCUUCUGUGGCACCCCAGCCAAUAGCAAUUUUUUCUGUUGCAUCUUUAAUCUUUUUCACACACCUGCCUACAACCGUCUCUAAAAACAAUCAAUCCUACCAUCAUCUCCAAAAGCAAAUCCUGCAACAGUCUCUAAAACCAAAACUCUUGUCAAUACAGUUAGAUCCUUGAAUUCCUAUCCUAUCUCCAAUUCUUUCACUUAUAAGCUUCUCAAAAGGGUCAUCUUUCUUUCUUCAUUUCCUCCCUUAAUGCUGGUGAUUUAACUUUAAAAUCGGGCUUCAUCCUGUCACUCCACUUAAACUACUGUGGCAACCUUCCAGUGAAUGUCUUAGACUUCUUGUUAUAAAAUCUAAUAAUUUUUUGUUUGUUUGUUUUAUUUCUGCUCCUCAGUCUGAUGAAUACUACCCUAAAUUUACUGCUGGGUAGCACCACAUUCUGUAGAGUCUUUUUUUUUUUUUUUUCAUUUUUAUUUAUUUAAUUGAAGGAUAAUUGCUUUACAGAAUUUUGUUGUUUUCUGUCAAACCUCCACAUGAAUCAGCCAAAGGUAUACAUAUAUCCCCUCCAUCUUGAACCUCCUUCCCAUCUCCCUCCCCAUCCCACCCCUGUAGGUUGAGUUUCCUGAGACAUACAGCACAUUCACCUCAGCUAUCUAUUUUACAUAUGGUAAUGUAAGUUUCCAUGUUACUCUCUCCAUACAUCUCCCCUCUCCCCAUGUCCAUAAAUCUGUUCUCUAUGCCUGUUUCUCCAUUGCUGCCCUGCAAAUAAAUUCUUCAGUACCAUCUUUCUAGAUCCCGUAUAUAUGCGUUAGUGUGUGAUAUUUAUCUUUGCCUUUCUGACUUCCACACUCUGUAUAAUAGGCUCUAGGUUCAUCCACCUCAUUAGAACUGACUCAAAUGUGUUCCUUUUUAUGGCUAAUAUUCCAUUGUGUAUAUGCGCCACAACUUCUUUAUCCAUGCAUCUGUCGAUGGACAUCUAGGUUGCUUCCAUGUUCUAGCUAUUAUAAAUAGUAGCAGCACGUUCUGAUUUUGAUCCUAGCCCUCUGGCCCUCUCUGUGUGUUCCCUUACUGAUUCCUGCUCUUAGUCCUGUCCCAUCAGCAUCGACUUGCUGGGAUGUUCUGAGCUUGACCCUCUUCUCCUUUCCUCUAUGCUUCUAUGGCAAUCUUUCUGCUUUCCACAACUUCAACAACUCUCUGGAUGAGGAUGAAGUCUAAAUAUUCCCUUCUAGACCUGACUUUUUGCUUCAGCUUAAUGCACAAAUUUCCAGCCAUGUCUUUAAAUGUGAAGGGAUUCAUAGUAUGGGAAGGUCACCUCUGACCUUAUGGCCCCCCUGUUCGUUUAGCUUCUGAGCCACAGUCAUCUUUCCCACCACCUUGUUGGUGGUCUAGUGAGCAGUCUAUCCUAUUCUUUCCGGUCAGUGUCAUUGCUGUUUGACUCCCUGAACAAACUCUUAGAGCUGGUAUUGUCUUUUCACUCAAGCUGCUCUGGUGACCAAUCAUGUUCCCUUCUCCUGACCAGCCUUCUCGAUAAUUUUCAUUUUGCCGUAGAGCAUGAGUUAUUUUUCUGUGGGAGGCAUCUUCUGCCACUGUGUGCUAAUUUAAAGCAUCCUUUAGAGAACCAAACUCAAAUACAUUACAGGCAGUGACAAGUCUGUUCUUCAAAAAAAUGAACAAAUUUCAUUCUUCACUGAGACAGGAGGGGCUGGAGGAAUUAUUAUGGGCAAGAUGGGGCAGAAUGAGACAACUUGGGAGGCACCCUAAUGAAAAUUAAAAUGUAAGUCUGGGGGAGAAGUGUUCAUCUCAAAGGCCUCGUUAAGUCUAGAUGGUCCUAUUUCAGGGAAUGGGGAUAGUUUAAUGUUUAAGAACAAAAUCCAGCUCAUUCUGUUAUGACACUUUUUUUAAAACCAGUGAAAGAAAGUCUGAUAAUAGCUGGUGGAAGGGUCGAGAGGUGCCAUCCUUGUGAAAAAGGACAUUAAUGAAUCUCUCUUGGUCAAGUGGAAUGGAGAGACUUCCAGGGAACUCAAUAUAUCCAGAACAUCCAUGAGGUGUUCAUGUCAAUUUUUUUUUUUUGGCCUACAAAUACUUAAGAGAAGUGGAGGAAAGUUAGCGUAGGAGGAAGGGAAAGCAUGGAGGCCUCCAAUGGAGCAUGGUUUUGUCCAGUGCCAGGAACUGCACCUGAGUCUCUUAGGCCCCUCCUGUUGGUUACUGGUAUUGAUGGUAGCUUUGGAGACUCAAAGCUGAUGACCUUCUAGGUGUCUGUUCCUUUGAUCCUUCCCAGGGCAUGAAAAUUCAAACUUGGACCUUGUUUCCUGGGUAUAAUUAGAGUAACGAUGGAAUCAUACUUCUCAUUUUCCCUCUCCGCUUGUAAUCUGAGAUGCAGCAGGUUCAGAAGCACUUUCUGAAGCAGCUUCCUGCCCAUCCAGAAAUACCAGGGAAGGUAACAGCUAUACAGGGAGGUGCCAGGGAAGUGAGAACCCCAUCACAGCAGCCUUCAGCUGUAACCAUGCCCCUCCCGAGGAGGGAGAAACCUGGGCACCACCAAAUGUGUGCCGUCCUGGAUGUCCGCAGGGAGUCAAGGCACGCAGGCCAGCCCUAAGCCCAACCCGAGGCAGAGACGGGGUAAGAGGGAGCCUAAGUCCCACACUGUGGCUCCAUCCCCUUCUUUGUGUUUAGAUGCAUAGUCUCCGAGAUCUACCAGGAGCAGAGCAUCAUGGGAUGCGGUCCCAGGACUCUGAGUGCACUGGGCCGCCAGCUGAUCUCAGAUAAGAAUAUUUCCUGUUUCUAGGGGGGAGAUUUUUUAAUUUUUUGAAAGACUAAAACAUGCCUGCCUGAAACCUCAGUCUUCUACAGAGUCCUCUUUGUAGUUAACUCCCAAUGUCAUCAUCAUGUUUUCAUUGUCUUUGAUCAUUUUCUUUCGAAAUCAAGGGCUAUUCGAAUGUUCCCUUCGGCUGUGAGGUAGAAGCAUCUGAAAAUCAGAGGCUCAGCCUUGCCUCCUCUGUCUGAGCUGUGCUCUUUGUUGCUUAUAAAUUGCUUCCACAGAUUCCCCCCAACAGCACGACAACACGUAAUUUGGUCUCUCUGUCAUGCUUGUGCACCUCCCCAACACACAUCACAAACAUACAUGCACAGGCUCACUCUCCCAACAAUCAGACCUCACAAUGCCAACGUCACUCACAUUAUCGGGAAGCAGGGGUGCAUCUUUGGUAGAUGAAAGUGUUCAUUUGGAACUCAAUGGGUAUAUUACAGCCUGUGAUUUCUCUGGGCUCUUCCUAGCCUGUGGAUGGCUGUUACCUCAAGGUCUGACAGCAUGUCUAGGCUUUAUGUGAAGGGAGCAUUUCUUCCUAAGAGAACAACGUUUUUGCCCUGCUGCCAGUCCCUGUUGAACCCUGUGGAAUCCGUGUGGUCCUCUGAUGUCUCAUUAGUGCUUAGUGCUAAGAGGAUGGAGAUGCAGAAGCCAUUCUCUGCAAGGACAGACAGGCUUGCUGCUUAGAUAAAUACCUCUCCACAUGUGCCCGCAUCUCCUCUUUGACAACAACAUGAGCGGGGGUGGUGAGGUCUGCCUUCAGUGGGGACGGAAAUGGCAAACAUAACUUGGGAGAUUCAAUAAUCUUUCUUCUCCCAGGGUUGAGAGCCGGGAAAAUAUCAAGACUUCAUGUCAGCAGGAAGCAAAGAGGCCAGAGAAGCAUCCAGACAGAACUCUUAUUGCGAAAAACAUAAAAUGGCAAAAAAAAAAAAAAAAAAACCUUUAUUUCACUCGGAUGCAAUUGGAAGACAGCCAGGGCACUUACAGCCAUGUUUUCCCUUGCUCACAUGUCCUCUUACAUUCUUGUUCUCAGUUCAAGGAUCUCAAGGUGCUCUAUAUUCUAACUUAACCCUCAGAACAGCCACACCCAUGCACACAUACAGUGUUAGAAUGAGACUCUGAGAGAGCACAGGGCUGUCACGUGUGCUUGGUAUUCAUGUUUUCAAACCAGAGCCCAGCAAACCUAGUACAGUCAGCCCCACAGCAUCUGAAUGAUGAAGGACCACACUUGCUGCAUAUCAUGUGUACUUAGGAUCCCAGAAAAGAGAACAGCUUUAUUACGAGACUCCUCCUGGGCACUGGCAGUGACCAGGGCAAGUGCAUUGGUUGUUUCUUGGUAGCAGGUGCAAGAAAUGGGGCACAUAGAAAUUUGAGGAUUCAUUGCUUGAACAUUCUUAGCUUAAUUCCCGUGUGAAAUGGCCCUGAGCUAUGGCAGUUUCUAGCCUGACCGUGCUCCCCCUCCCUGGAGAAGGAUGCGGUUCCCAGGGUCACCAACUGUUCAAUUACACCUCUACCAUAACCUUCCCUCUGAAUGGCUUCCUUUGGCAUGGGAAUACGAUUGUCUUUUAAUUUUAUAGAUGAGAAAGCUGAAGCACAACAAAAUGUUAUGCUUAGUUAAAACUAAGGUUAUAUAGGAAAUUCUUGGAAGAACCGCAACUUGUCUGAAUUUCUAACUCUCAGCCUAGGUCACAGAGUAAUGUUGCCUGAAUUGUCCACCACACCCUAUGUUCAGCAUCUAAUGGAAGAAAAAAAAUCUUCAUACCAUACACACACACACACACACACAUUUGAGUCUACAGAGAUCAGGAAAAAGCUAAGGAAAAAACUUCAGAAGGAGGAAUGAGUAGAAAAGUUUCUGUAAUGAAGAUGAGUUGAAGGCUAAAUCACAAAAAUGUUUUUGAAUUUUGUGGAGUGACACAUUGUGAAUAAUUUUUUAUCCUUAAAAAAAUUUUUAUGUAGCAUGAAACCCACUCAAAUAAAAAGGUCAAGAAAAACUGAGACAGAAUUUCUUCCAGAGUAUUCCAUGGGGACAGGAAGCCAUGACACUCUGAAGGUGUCAGCAGAUUUAAUCAGCUGACAGUGAAGAGGGCAACCCCAAGACAGAGCCUUUUAGCCUCUUCUGGGUAACUCAGUCAAGUUCAAACACAGCAAACUUGAGGCUAAUUUGAAGGCAGAAGUUAGUGCUGGAAGCUAAGUAGAAACAUAAGGAAGUUCACAUAUACGAUGAAUUUCAUAAGGAAAGAGUUAUUCCCCAUAAUAAUUAUUGCUGCCUAAAGCCAGGAAGAAGGGUGGCAUGGAUGUUGCAAAGACUAAUAAAGGUCUCCUGAGAAUUCUUGUGAAGCCUUCAUUUUGCCCCAGGAUUAUAAUGGUAAAAUCUUUAAGCAAACAAGGGCCAGGGAGUCCUGCAACCAUCCUCUUUUGCAAUCCACCGGCCCACUGAUGAAUGGUUCAAGCUCAGGAAGUAAUCAUCAGUCUUUCCAAAGAGAACAGUCUUUAGGUUGUGCCACAGAACAGAUGUUGGUUCACACACAGAGCAUUCGGCUUAUACCAAGAGCCAUGAAAGAGCUCUUAAGUGUCCUAGUUCAAUGUAGAAAGUUGUUUGUUUGUUUCAUUUCAUCAGUCCAGCCUGCCCCAAAGGAAAGACAGGAGAAGAAGUAGGACGUUGGAAAAGUAAUAGCUGGCUGGGGCAGUGGGGAGAGGGUGGGGGAGGAGUUCUGUACAUCAAUUACACAGUGUGGUCAUUCCUCAAAGCCUGGUUCAGGACUCUGAGAGAGAAUAUGGGCAGAGAGAAGAGGUGAGUUUAAUUCCUAUGUACAAGGAUGAUUAGAGGAAGACACUAGAGCCCUCCUUAAGCUCAAAGUUUAGAAUCAAGCCAAUUACAAAUAUCCUUUCUCUCCUGUCUGUCUCCUGAUAUGCUGCCUGAAAUCAUGAUGGUAUCACAGGAAGCUAAGAGAGAGAGACAGGGGUUCCAUCUUGAGUCCCUGGGAGCGUCAUCCUUCACAGGAGUGAUGUUACAGAUACUGGGUCCUGAUGCUCCUUCAUGAGGAGUAGCAGAGCCAACGGCUGAUCAUUCAGAGCAUCUUUCAUGCCUGGGAUGACUAUUCCCUGCUAGACUCAGCUCUCUUCAUUGGAGGCAGAGAGGGGAAUAAAAGGAUUCCUGGGGACCCUCAGAUCGAGAAACAACAGAGAAUUAUUUAGUCAAAACUACAGAGAUGUUGUGCUUAGUAUUAAAGAUUAUGGUAGCAAUGAAAAAGCCAACCCUUCAGCAAAGCUGCCAAAAAGAUAGCUCAUAGAAAUAGAUAGGAAACAUUAUAACAGCAGAAAUUUACAAAGAAAAUCCACAUCUGCACGGGACUGGAGUUGCUGAGCCAAGAGGAUAUGUACCUUCUCAUUUGGAGUAGGUUUGAGUGGGCCUGGGUGCUAGGUGUCCCAUGGAGAAGCAGCAGAGAGGAGAGUCCAUUUCAGAGUCCAGGUAUUUCCUGGGGCACCAGACUCCUUGUGAGUUUAAACACCUUCUCACUGAGACUUAGGGUAGGAUGUAAGUUCCUCUGGGAGCAUGGUUUCAAUUUCUUCUCAAGAUAGGGUUGCCCAUUUGGUCAGCUCACAUGUCUCCUUGGCCUCUUGCUUUCUGCAGCUGACUUGAAAGAAUUAUCUACAUGAUAGUUCAGGUAAUUGGGUAAAGCCUGAUGAGUGAAAAGAUGAAUAAGAUCAAGCACAGAACUGUGAUCUUCUGGGGCUGUGUUCAUCCUUUUCUGGUUUCCUUUUUUUUCAUUUUUCAUUUGCUUUGGCAUAUUGCGGGGAAAUCUACUUGAUCAUCACUGAGCAAAUAUCCUUCUGGCAGAGUUUGGUGGGAAAAUUCACAGAGAAUGAGUAGAAUCAGCGUAUUUCCUUUAAUCCCAACUGUCUGUGGGAUCUUCUUCUCUUCUCCAGAGCCAUCUCUUCUUUGGGGCAUUUGCUCUCUUCCUUUUCUGGCACUAUGAUGCCAAAAUCAAUUUCAGUGGUUGGCGCAGAUCAAGAAGAAUGGUGACUGUAAUAGGAAAUAGACCAAAAUACCCAUGUUUUUAGCCAUUGCAAGCUGGUUUUUCUCAUUGAACCCUUCCAAUUUCUUACAUGGAAACUAUUCCAACUCUUCCUCACCUCUCAGCCUUCUUGGUGGUUCUCCUGGUCCUCUUCAUGAAUUUGGAUCCCCCUCCUUAAGGAGCGAUCUAUUCCUUAGCCUGCAUCAUUAUCUAAACUCUUAGAUUGUUCAAAGAAACUCUUAGUAAUUUCUCAUGGUUUUUUCCUCAUUAUUUUUUUUUAAACUUGGGAGAUGGAGAAGCUUUAAAAGGAGAACGAUAAGCAAAGAAGUGUCUUAUUGCCAGAUGUCUCAACUCAAGGUCAAGUGCUGGGAAAGUGUGUGCCUGUCCCAAGGACAACCUCAGGUUCACCUAGUAGAGAAGGGCUACCCUGGUUGCUCACAAGAUAAAGACUCUGCUUGCAAUGAGGGAGACCCAGGUUUGAUCCCUGGUUUGAGAAGAUCCCCUGGAGAAGGGAAUGGCAACCCACUCCAGUAUUCUUGCCUGGAGAAUCCCAUGGACAGAGGAGCCUGGCGGGCUACAGUCCAUUGGGUCGCAGAGUCUGAAAUGACUGAGCGGCUUUCACUUUCACUUUUUUUUUUCCCCCCCACCAAAUGGAGCGGAGAUGUGCUGUAGAAUAUCAGGCAUCCUCUGUGAGGAUGUGCACCAAGGCUUUGAUCAAGGGCACAGAAGCAUUUCAUGGUUGUCAUGGGUAUCAUCUCUCUUUUUUAUUAUCUCAAAGCACAAGCCCGUGUGACAGGGCAUGCUUGCAUUCCAGUCUGAAUCUUCCAGCGAUAUGACACUCUCCACAGCUAUCCUUGGCCCAGAGGCCACAGACUCUAAAUAUCACACCCAGUGAGCUGUUGUACAUUAUAUUUUUUUAAUCAUUAACAUUAUCUCUCUAUUGGAAUGAAAGACAGAAGGUGAACUAGGAACCAGACACAGUGACAAGUAAAUUAAAAAAAAUCUUUCUUCCAAAAAAUGCUCUUUGCUGAGCAUUUGAAAAAAUCCAAAAGCAAUGAGGUGAAAUCAGGGUAGAAUGGUCUGGGGAGAAGAGAUGGUGACACAGAUGCUCUGGUUUAUUCUAUAAGAUUUGUUUGCUGUUCCCUAUGAGCUGAGGCAGCAGGAGAAGCUGUGCAGAUAUUGAUUGUUCAGAAAAAAAUGGGGACAUUGACCUUAGAAAGAGACAUAGGUUUCCUUCCAGGUAGACAUGGGUAAACAUACAUCUUAACUCUUCCAAAUGGGUCUACAAACCCUUAGGGUGGCUCCUCUCAAACGAUUUCCAUUCUCCAGUCAAAACUGUUCUGAGUGGAACAGUGCGAGCCGCAUCAUGGUUACGUUGACUUAAAUUGGGAAGGCAAAGGGUGCUGGGGAGAAUGAAAUAUAUCAGGGGAAUAGAGUUAGCUGAAGCUUUUCAAUUUUGGAAUGAUUGUGGAUCACAAACUUAGGUUACCUCUGAGAAAGAAAAUCUUUUAAAUAAAAUUAUAUCUUCCCAUCCCCAGUGAAAACACCAGGUUUCUAACCAGAUUACUAUUUUCUUCAGGAAGGAAAUUGGUAGAUUUGAUUACAAAUAGGCUUUUUUUUUUUUUUAACAGAUCGAUUUAAUCCUGAGUCUUACACAUAUUAACAUAGAAUUUACUGACUCAGACAUGAUCUUCUAAGCUAUAAAAUAGUAUUGAAAGGCAGUAGAUCUGUGUGUUCUGAGCAAACCAGAAAUGCUGAAAAAAUGUUAAAUAAUCCUCCCAAAUAUUGAGUCUCUAUAAAUUCUACCAGACCCCCAAGGAAUUUAAGAGUUAUGCAACCAAAAGAGAGAUUUUUAAGACUCAAGGUGAUUUUUUUUCUAAAUUAUUGAAAAACACAGUAAGCCCAAGGACAAUUCUUAAAUCAGAAAAGCUCAUAGAAAGUGAGCUCUACCCUUGUCAUUUAGAAAUCUGUUAAAGUUUAGAGUUGAUAACCAGAUUUUUGUUUUUGACUGAAACUCUUGUUUUGGGGAGACUUGGCCUGCAGUGUAGGAGCAUGUUUUGGAGAGAUGGUUUAUUGGUGUGUUGAUAUUUACUGAUACUUAAGAACGUGAGGUCUGUGACCUCCUGAAGCUUACAUAUUGAUGAGAGGAAACAGGCAAGAAAUCAAUAAAUGUAUUUCAUGUCAGACACUUCAAUGCACCAUGGAGAAAAAAAUGAAGCAGAUUGAGUAGGGGGUUGGGGAUGAUAGGGUGGGUGUGGUCUUGCUACUUCGUAUAGGUUGGAAAGGAAAAGUUUCCAUAAAAAUGUGACAGUUGAGCAAAGGCUUAAAAGGAAACAAGGCAGUGAGCCUUGGAGUUUUCUAGAUGACAGGGUUUUCAGCCAAAGAGAAAGCAAAGCCCCUGAAGUUGAACAUACUUGAGGAACUUGAACAUACUUGAGGAACAUACUUGAAGAACAUACUUCCUCGGGUGUGCUGGACAUAUUUGAGAAAGAGCCAGGAGGCCCAUGAGUGAGGAGGAGAGUAUGGCAGACGAGGUCAGACAGUUGGCAUUGACCUACGGGUAGGGAACUUACAGGCCAUUAUCGUAAGGGUUUUCACCAAGAGCAAGAUGAGAAGUCACUGGAAGGUUCUGAGUAGAGAGUGAUACGAGUUGGCUUCCGUUUCAAAUGCAGCUUUGUGACCGCUGUGUUGGGAGUACCCUGUGAGAGAGAGUGGGCAUUGGGAGAAGCAGCAGGACCACUUGCAAGGCUGGUACCUCCAUCUAGGUAAGAAAUGUAGUGGCUUGGGCCAUGGUGUUAGUGAGGGAGGUGAGAAGUGAUUGGAUUCCAGAAAUAUUCUGAGGGGUUUGUCGAGGCCCUAGAUGUUGAGUGAAACAAAGAAAAGGUUCAAGAAUGAGCCUAGAAUUUUUGGCCUCAUCUACUGGAAGUUUGGAGUCACCAUUAAUGAGAUGAGAAUCUUGGGGUUUAAGUAGGCUGGGAAAGAGAUCCUUCAUCUAAGUGAGGUUCUGAUAUCUAUCAGAUGUCCAAAUGGAAAUGUUGAUGAGGCUGUUGGAUACUUGAACCUGGAAUUUGAGGAAGAGGUGGUGCCUGAAGAUAUAAAUUUGGAAUUCAGAGGCAUCCAGAUUGUGUUUGAAUCCAUGGUACUAGAUCUAGGCAUCAGGACAGAUCUCGGAAUACAGGUCUAGUGAGUGCAGGUCUAGGAGUGAGUACUUCCCUGGUGGCUCAGACAGUAAAGAAGCUGCCUGCAGUGCGAGAGACCCACACUGGGUCCCUGGGUUGGAAAGAUCCCCUGGAGAAGGGAAUGGCUACCCACUCCAGUGUUCUUGCCUGGAGAAUCCCAUGGACAGAGAAGCCUGGAGGGCUAGUCCCUGGGGUCGCAAAGAGUCGGAUAUAACUGAAGCAACUUAGCACGCAAGUUCAAUGAGGGCAGCACAAAACACAGGGUUGAGGGCAACUGCAAAAUGGUAAUGAUGCUUUGCCCUGGAAUCAAAACCAGGUGAGAGAAAAGUGAGCCUUUGUAAGGAACUGGAAAUAAUGAAGUGUAGUAGGGGGAGAGGACUGAGAUGCAGGCUGGGGUCACCGAAUGAUUGAGCCAGCUUCCAGAAAGAGUAAUCUGGAAGGUGGAAGCUGGUCAGAAUGUGUGAUGCUUCAGACUGCAGUUUUACGGAGGUUGGAGUUACUGGUUGGGGGUCUGGUAUGGGAUGGGGGCUGCUGUUAUGUAGAGGAAAAGAUUAUUGAAGGAGUAGAGGCCAGGGAACCGAGUGGCAUUCUGGUGCCUCUUCUUCAAUCCUGAAGGAUUUGUGUGUGUGUUGUUUUUUGUUGCUGUUUUUAAUGUUCACUAAAAACCCCAUUGCCAUCUGUGGUAGGCCACGUCUAUUUUUAUAGAUGUCAGCAAAUGUGAUCGUGGCUUGAGGCCGCACUUUGACUGUUUGCCCUAGAAUGAACACAUUUUCCCAGUAAAUCUUGUCCUUUCUAUUUUCAAGGUUCCCAACAAAGUCAGUUUCCUUGGGGGAAAUCGUAAUUCUUUGUUCACCUUUCUCUUCAUUUAUCUUUAGAAAAAGUCAAAGUGAAAAGGAUUAGAAAGCAGCUUUGCUUCUGCCCAGUUCUGCUCAAUGAAAGUUUUCUCUCACGGUUCGUUUUUAUUUAGUAUUUUCUUUUGUGACAGGAACAUAAGGAAAUGAUGCAAAGUCUAAAAACCCUGGGUGAGAGAUUUGAAAGAUCAGGAGUGGGUUAGGAAGAAAAGGGCUUUUGAGUGGGGCUGCAUGAAAAAGGGACAAGUGAGGGCUUUUAAGAAGGGCUGAAAAAAAUCAGAAAUUUGGCCAAGGGAGGCAAAAGGAAAAAGUCCACUUGCAUCGGCAUUUAAAGAUUUAGCAAGAGCAACCUGGAGUCUGUCCCUAGGAAUGUGCCUCUGACACAGAUGGUGUGCUCUUUCUAUUGUAUAUCCUGUGCCCUUAAAGAAAAAAAAAAAAAACUUUCAUAAUCUGAAAAACAGAUAGAAGCUGUUCAACCAUUUCUGGUGCACUAGUUCUCCAAACCGUCACAGAACCUUGGGCAAGGCAUGAAUUUCAUCAUAUCACAGCUACCACUGAUUCAGCCUCUCUGUCCCCCAGUGAAGGGACCCCUGAGCUUAGUCAUGCCCUGCCUGGCAUCUUCCCCCAAAGAUUCAACUGUGUUCACCCUGGCUUGUCUGAUGCCACGUCUUGAGUUCUUGUAUUAGGGGGAUAUUGUGACCAACUCAAGGGGGUACAUCGUGCUUUAUGCACUGAAGACUAAGAGGACCUUGUAUAGGAAGGAAGAAGGAAGCAAGGGAAGAAAGCCAGGGACGGGGUUGUCACACUCUGUUUGCUUUCUGACACCUGGGAAUGGAACCUUCCAAAGGUGAGCAGAAAACAACGUGGUUUCUAGUGCCUGGGUCUCAGAUUUUUCCCUAGUUCAGGUUGCCUCCCACACCUGAUUCAGCAGGUGCACCUGUUUGUUCAGGGCAUUUGCAGGAGUGCCAGCAAGGGGCAAAUCUUAGUAGGAGCUUGGUUACCCAAUGACCAUCCAGCAUUAAUAUUUCUGAGUAGCUGGAAACUUUGAGGGAGUUAGACGGCAUGUUACAAUGGAGAUCAGAAAGGGAUGAGAUGGAGCAGUGAGCCCUUGUCCCUAAGGGCACCUCUUCCUCUACUUGACAGAAGCCGGUGCUCCAGCGCCAUCUUCAUCACACUGAGCCACAAUGACGCGCAUGCGUGUGAGUGCCUGUGAGUCUGUGCGCGCAUAUGUGUGUGAGCAUGGGGGUGAGGGGGGAUGAUGGAAACCACAAACCACAAAUUCACCGCAUGAUUGGGUUGCAAAACUCAGAGCCGCAGCCCUCCAGAGGCUCCAUGGCAGAAGGGACACGUUUCUAGCUUUCCUGGUGUGGUACCCUCCCCAGGGAAAACACAGAGGAUUCAGGUUCACCUUGACUCUGUGAGGCCCAGCCUCCCUCCCUGGGGUGGGCUCUCCUUCCUCUUGACUCUCAGAUCCCCAGCCCAUUCACCUCCGAGUUCUCUUUUUUGUUUGUUUUGUUUUCGUUUUCUGUAAAUAUAUAUUUCUUAUUUUGGACGUGCAGGGGUCAAUUGAGAUUCUGGAGUGGGGGGAGGGGGCGGAUGACUGGG
ensembl:lncRNA